rnacentral:rRNA from 1 species
UGGGGAAUAUUGCACAAUUGGCGCAAGCCUGAUGCAGCCAUGCCGCGUGUAUGAAGAAGGCCUUCGGGUUGUAAAGUACUUUCAGCGGGGAGGAAGGGAGUAAAGUUAAUACCUUUGCUCAUUGACGUUACCCGCAGAAGAAGCACCGGCUAACUCCGUGCCAGCAGCCGCGGUAAUACGGAGGGUGCAAGCGUUAAUCGGAAUUACUGGGCGUAAAGCGCACGCAGGCGGUUUGUUAAGUCAGAUGUGAAAUCCCCGGGCUCAACCUGGGAACUGCAUCUGAUACUGGAAAGCUUGAGUCUCGUAGAGGGGGGUAGAAUUCCAGGUGUAGCGGUGAAAUGCGUAGAGAUCUGGAGGAAUACCGGUGGCGAAGGCGGCCCCCUGGACGAAGACUGACGCUCAGGUGCGAAAGCGUGGGGAGCAAACAGG